GGGCUCACACAAGCGGUGGAGGAUGUGGCUUAAUUCGAGGCUACGCGAAGAACCUUAUCCUAGUCUUGACAUGCUUAAGAACCCUCCUGAAAGGGAGGGGUGCCCUUCGGGGAGCUUUUGCACAGGUGCUGCAUGGCUGUCGUCAGCUCGUGUCGUGAGAUGUCGGGUUAAGUCCCUUAACGAGCGAAACCCUUGUCUCUAGUUGCCAGCGGGUAAAGCCGGGGACUCUAGAGGGACCGCCGGUGUUAAACCGGAGGAAGGUGGGGAUGACGUCAAGUCCUCAUGGCCUUUAUGACUAGGGCUGCACACGUCCUACAAUGCAUUGUACAAAGGGAAGCAACCUCGUGAGAGUAAGCAAAUCCCAAAAAGCAGUGCUCAGUUCGGAUUGCAGGCUGCAACUCGCCUGCAUGAAGCCGGAAUCGCUAGUAAUCGCGGGUCAGCAUACCGCGGUGAAUAUGUUCCUGAGCCUU
rnacentral:rRNA from 1 species